rnacentral:lncRNA from 1 species
UGUGCUUUAGGUAAUGCACGAGGCAUCACAAGUGAAGUGGAUGGACCUUUUUUGCUCGGCAUCAUUGCAGAGUAUUGAAAAUCUCACAUAAAAAAGGAGCAAAUAGGCCCUGACCAAAGAAAUAACCAAGUUCUUUUUUUUUUCCUUCUUUAUUUUUUUUUAAAAAAAGAAAGCACACAUUACUAUAAAGAGGGAGAAAAAACACCUUUCAGAAGAACCUGUCACUGGAUGUCACCAAAGUUCCAUGAAUUUGCAGGCAAAACAGCACUAUUUUAUCAAUAAAACUCAAGAGUCUUAAAAAAGCUCCGGGACAUCAGCUCUUCAGCUCUCAUUGGAGAGACAGGCUUUGAAGUUACUGUCCAAGCUGGCUUUCUUCUUUUAAACUCAACAUUAUUGCAAAG